rnacentral:rRNA from 2 species
GGGAUAACACCUGGAAACAGAUGCUAAUACCGCAUAACAACUUGGACCGCAUGGUCCGAGCUUGAAAGAUGGCUUCGGCUAUCACUUUUGGAUGGUCCCGCGGCGUAUUAGCUAGAUGGUGGGGUAACGGCUCACCAUGGCAAUGAUACGUAGCCGACCUGAGAGGGUAAUCGGCCACAUUGGGACUGAGACACGGCCCAAACUCCUACGGGAGGCAGCAGUAGGGAAUCUUCCACAAUGGACGAAAGUCUGAUGGAGCAACGCCGCGUGAGUGAAGAAGGGUUUCGGCUCGUAAAACUCUGUUGUUAAAGAAGAACAUAUCUGAGAGUAACUGUUCAGGUAUUGACGGUAUUUAACCAGAAAGCCACGGCUAACUACGUGCCAGCAGCCGCGGUAAUACGUAGGUGGCAAGCGUUGUCCGGAUUUAUUGGGCGUAAAGCGAGCGCAGGCGGUUUUUUAAGUCUGAUGUGAAAGCCUUCGGCUCAACCGAAGAAGUGCAUCGGAAACUGGGAAACUUGAGUGCAGAAGAGGACAGUGGAACUCCAUGUGUAGCGGUGAAAUGCGUAGAUAUAUGGAAGAACACCAGUGGCGAAGGCGGCUGUCUGGUCUGUAACUGACGCUGAGGCUCGAAAGUAUGGGUAGCAAACAGGAUUAGAUACCCUGGUAGUCCAUACCGUAAACGAUGAAUGCUAAGUGUUGGAGGGUUUCCGCCCUUCAGUGCUGCAGCUAACGCAUUAAGCAUUCCGCCUGGGGAGUACGGCCGCAAGGCUGAAACUCAAAGGAAUUGACGGGGGCCCGCACAAGCGGUGGAGCAUGUGGUUUAAUUCGAAGCUACGCGAAGAACCUUACCAGGUCUUGACAUACUAUGCAAAUCUAAGAGAUUAGACGUUCCCUUCGGGGACAUGGAUACAGGUGGUGCAUGGUUGUCGUCAGCUCGUGUCGUGAGAUGUUGGGUUAAGUCCCGCAACGAGCGCAACCCUUAUUAUCAGUUGCCAGCAUUAAGUUGGGCACUCUGGUGAGACUGCCGGUGACAAACCGGAGGAAGGUGGGGAUGACGUCAAAUCAUCAUGCCCCUUAUGACCUGGGCUACACACGUGCUACAAUGGAUGGUACAACGAGUUGCGAACUCGCGAGAGUAAGCUAAUCUCUUAAAGCCAUUCUCAGUUCGGAUUGUAGGCUGCAACUCGCCUACAUGAAGUCGGAAUCGCUAGUAAUCGCGGAUCAGCAUGCCGCGGUGAAUACGUUCCCGGGCCUUGUACACACCG